AUUGAACGCUGGCGGCAGGCUUAACACAUGCAAGUCGAGCGGGGGAAGGUAGCUUGCUACCGGACCUAGCGGCGGACGGGUGAGUAAUGCUUAGGAAUCUGCCUAUUAGUGGGGGACAACAUCUCGUAAGGGAUGCUAAUACCGCAUACGUCCUACGGGAGAAAGCAGGGGAUCUUCGGACCUUGCGCUAAUAGAUGAGCCUAAGUCAGAUUAGCUAGUUGGUGGGGUAAAGGCCUACCAAGGCGACGAUCUGUAGCGGGUCUGAGAGGAUGAUCCGCCACACUGGGACUGAGACACGGCCCAGACUCCUACGGGAGGCAGCAGUGGGGAAUAUUGGACAAUGGGGGGAACCCUGAUCCAGCCAUGCCGCGUGUGUGAAGAAGGCCUUAUGGUUGUAAAGCACUUUAAGCGAGGAGGAGGCUACUUUAGUUAAUACCUAGAGGUAGUGGACGUUACUCGCAGAAUAAGCACCGGCUAACUCUGUGCCAGCCGCCGCCGUAA
rnacentral:rRNA from 1 species